GACGAACGCUGGCGGCGUGCCUAAUACAUGCAAGUUGAGCGCUGAAGGUUGGUACUUGUACCAACUGGAUGAGCAGCGAACGGGUGAGUAACGCGUGGGGAAUCUGCCUUUGAGCGGGGGACAACAUUUGGAAACGAAUGCUAAUACCGCAUAAAAACUUUAAACACAAGUUUUAAGUUUGAAAGAUGCAAUUGCAUCACUCAAAGAUGAUCCCGCGUUGUAUUAGCUAGUUGGUGAGGUAAAGGCUCACCAAGGCGAUGAUACAUAGCCGACCUGAGAGGGUGAUCGGCCACAUUGGGACUGAGACACGGCCCAAACUCCUACGGGAGGCAGCAGUAGGGAAUCUUCGGCAAUGGACGAAAGUCUGACCGAGCAACGCCGCGUGAGUGAAGAAGGUUUUCGGAUCGUAAAACUCUGUUGGUAGAGAAGAACGUUGGUGAGAGUGGAAAGCUCAUCAAGUGACGGUAACUACCCAGAGAGGGACGGCUAACUACGUG
rnacentral:rRNA from 1 species